rnacentral:rRNA from 1 species
AUUCCAGCUCCAAUAGCGUAUAUUAAAGUUGUUGCGGUUAAAAAGCUCGUAGUUGGAUUUCUGCCGAGGAUGACCGGUCCGCCCUGUGGGUGUGCAUCUGGCUCAGCCUUGGCAUCUUCCUGAAGAACGUAGCUGCACUUGACUGUGUGGUGCGGUAUUUAGGACAUUUACUUUGAGGAAAUUAGAGUGUUUCAAGCAAGCGCACGCUUUGAAUACAUUAGCAUGGAAUAAUAAGAUAGGACCUCGGUUCUAUUUUGUUGGUCUUCGGAACUCGAGGUAAUGAUUAAGAGGGACAGACGGGGGCAUUCGUAUUACGGUGUUAGAGGUGAAAUUCUUGGAUCGCCGUAAGACGAACUACUGCGAAAGCAUUUGCCAAGAAUGUU